GCUGACAUGAGUCAGCUAGCUAGCUUCGCAUGUCUGUUACAGGCAUCUCUUCCUGUGUGAUGGAGGUAGAAGAGGUUGAACCACCUGAUGAGGUUACGGACAGGUUGAAUUUGUCCUUGGAAAAUAAAAAAUGCUUACCAGGGAAACAAGGUUGGAGGAUAGAAGGAACAAGAUAUUAGUGUGAAAGAGAGGUCAGGCUUCAUGCAGAAGGCUGUGAAUUGAAACCCAAGACAACACUGAAUCAGGGCUGAGGGCCAAAAAGGUAACUACCCUGUCAAGAAUGAAUCCUGGCCUGAGAUGGGAGAGAUCCAACUCCCCCCACCUCGGAAAAGAUUAGAACUCAAGGUCAAAAGCAGCAGCUUUUACCAAGAUUUACACAUUACUUUUAAUCAGGCAUUUAGCUGAGGACCUUGGAGAAGCAACAGCGAGAAAGCAAUGUAAGAAACUCCAAGGUUAAACCAUAUGUUGUAUAAACUUUUGGCCGUGGAAUAUGACACUGUUAGUCACUGCCAAAAAUUAGGCUUUCUUCUUCCUCCAAAAUACAAAAAGCAAAACUACCUUAGUUUUCUCAUCUUCAAAAUAGUAGUAAUAGUAGC
rnacentral:lncRNA from 1 species